AGAGAAGUAACUUCUAAUGGCCUUCUACCAGCCGACCAGUGGAGUAGCUGGGUGCAGGCACAGUUUGGGGGUAAGGAGGUCAUCUCUUCUUCAAGAUGUCCAGAAGUAACCCAGAGGUGAAAGGAGGCCUAACUUUUCUAGUGUGGCAGGUACCCCUGAAAAUGAGUUAUAAUGUUCUAAAAAUCUUUGAAGAAAUUAGAAGUUGGGGUCAAGGAGCAGAAAUUAACUCCUCACUCCCUGAUUGCAUGUUCCUGAGCUCAGAAAUGCAGGGUGUUGCCACCUGGGUGGAGACUAUUGACAUUUUAGGAGAGCUUGACCUGUUGCCUCCUAGAGUUUUGGCAGCCAGGAAACUGCAGCUUGACACUCACACCGAAAGUUUUGAAGCUGGGAGGAUGCCUGAAGCACCCCUACACUAAAGAGGCUGACUCAGUUCCCCUGGGGGAUCUGAACAUCACAAGGGAUGAGAACUACUCCACAAGCCAGUGCUUUCCUAAUGUCAUGAAAUCUUCAACAGAACUCAAUAGAUAACAGGAGCUCAGUACCAAAAUACUAUAUGUAAAUUUUGAAA
rnacentral:lncRNA from 1 species